rnacentral:rRNA from 1 species
GUACGAAGGGGAGCUAGCGUUGCUCGGAAUCACUGGGCGUAAAGCGCACGUAGGCGGAUUGUUAAGUCAGGGGUGAAAUCCUGGAGCUCAACUCCAGAACUGCCUUUGAUACUGGCGAUCUUGAGUCCGGGAGAGGUGAGUGGAACUCCGAGUGUAGAGGUGAAAUUCGUAGAUAUUCGGAAGAACACCAGUGGCGAAGGCGGCUCACUGGCCCGGUACUGACGCUGAUGUGCGAAAGCGUGGGGAGCAAACAGG